CAAGAGCAAGAUCAACACCACCUCCAGCUGCAAAGGCAGAUGCAGAUUUUGACUUUUAGAACCUAGCUGCGAGUUCAACGGGGAGGGACAACCCAUCCUUUAGAGCAUCUCGGAGGAACACACUUCACAGGAGUAAGAAUCCAGAAAAUCUGGAAGCAGUUAAGUUACAGCACUGGAUGUAUACACAGCCUGUGGAACUGCAGACAAGCAUAAAAGCUAUUGGCAAAAAAAGGAACAAAGAGUCUUUUGGCUGUUUCUUCAGAUCUGAA